rnacentral:rRNA from 1 species
GAGAGUUUGAUUCUGGCUCAGGACGAACGCUGGCGGCGUGCCUAACACAUGCAAGUCGAGCGAGGAGAUUCCCUUCGGGGAUGAACCUAGCGGCGGACGGGUGAGUAACACGUGGGCAACCUGCCUUAUAGAGGGGAAUAGCCUUCCGAAAGGAAGAUUAAUACCGCAUAACAUUACAUUUUCGCAUGAAGAAGUAAUUAAAGGAGUAAUCCGCUAUAAGAUGGGCCCGCGGCGCAUUAGCUAGUUGGUGAGGUAACGGCUCACCAAGGCGACGAUGCGUAGCCGACCUGAGAGGGUGAUCGGCCACAUUGGGACUGAGACACGGCCCAGACUCCUACGGGAGGCAGCAGUGGGGAAUAUUGCACAAUGGGGGAAACCCUGAUGCAGCAACGCCGCGUGAGUGAUGAAGGUCUUCGGAUCGUAAAGCUCUGUCUUCAGGGACGAUAAUGACGGUACCUGAGGAGGAAGCCACGGCUAACUACG